GGGGGGGGGGGGCUAUGUUUUUUUUUUCUGUACAAACUUUUUUUUUCGCCUGUGGCGAAAAACAUACUAUUUUUUCGCGACAAGUCGAAAACAAUUUUUUUCUUUAAUUUUAGCAUUAUACAUAUAGUGGCAGCUGAGGGUGAAACAAACAAUUUUUUUUUCUCAGAAUCAAAGACAAAUUAUUUUUUUCUCCAAAAACUGGAAACAAACUUUUUUUUCCAAAAAAAACCAUAGGCCCCCCCAGAAAAUCAAAUGGUUGCUGCCUAAUUGGUGUUUGGACAUAACGUAAUAGGUGUUUGCACAUAACGUAAUAGAUGUUUGGACAUAAUGUAAUAGGCAUUUGCACAUAGCGUAAUCGGUGUUUGCACAUAAUGUAAGCGGUAUUUGCACAUAACGUAAUAGUGUUUGCACAUAUUGAUGUAGUUUUUAUACAUAACUUUAUAGGUAUUUGCACAUAACGCAAUAGGUGUUUGCACAUA
rnacentral:lncRNA from 1 species